rnacentral:rRNA from 1 species
AACGAACGCUGGCGGCAUGCCUAACACAUGCAAGUCGAACGAGACCUUCGGGUCUAGUGGCGCAUGGGUGCGUAACGCGUGGGAACCUGCCCUUAGGUUCGGAAUAACUCUCCGAAAGGGGUGCUAAUACCGGAUAAUGUCUUCGGACCAAAGAUUUAUCGCAUUUGGAUGGGCCCGCGUUGGAUUAGCUAGUUGGUAGGGUAAAAGCCUACCAAGGCGACGAUCCAUAGCUGGUCUGAGAGGAUGAUCAGCCACACUGAGACUGAGACACGGCCCAGACUCCUACGGGAGGGAGCAGUGGGGAAUAUUGGAAAACGGGCGGAAGCCUGAUGCAGCAAUGCCGGGUGAGUGAUGAAGGCAGGAGGGUAGUAAAGCUCUUUUACCCGGGAUGAUAAUGACAGUACCGGGAGAAUAAGCCCCGGCUAACUCCGUG